rnacentral:rRNA from 1 species
UACAGAGGUCUCAAGCGUUGUUCGGAUUCAUUGGGCGUAAAGGGUGCGUAGGCGGCGCGGUAAGUCGGGUGUGAAAUCUCGGAGCUUAACUCCGAAACUGCAUUCGAUACUGCCGUGCUUGAGGACUGGAGAGGAGACUGGAAUUUACGGUGUAGCGGUGAAAUGCGUAGAUAUCGUAAGGAAGACCAGUGGCGAAGGCGGGGUCUCUGGACAGUUCCUGACGUGAGGCACGAAGGCCAGGGGGAGCAAACGGGG